rnacentral:rRNA from 1 species
AGAACCUUACCAAAUCUUGACAUCCUUUGACAACUCUAGAGAUAGAGCCUUCCCCUUCGGGGGACAAAGUGACAGGGGGUGCAUGGUUGUCGUCAGCUCGUGUCGUGAGAUGUUGGGUUAAGUCCCGCAACGAGCGCAACCCUUAAGCUUAGUUGCCAUCAUUAAGUUGGGCACUCUAAGUUGACUGCCGGUGACAAACCGGAGGAAGGUGGGGAUGACGUCAAAUCAUCAUGCCCCUUAUGAUUUGGGCUACA